CCUACGGGUGGCAGCAGUGAGGAAUAUUGGUCAAUGGACGAGAGUCUGAACCAGCCAAGUAGCGUGAAGGAUGACUGCCCUAUGGGUUGUAAACUUCUUUUAUAUGGGAAUAAAAUGUUCCACGUGUGGGAUUUUGUAUGUACCAUAUGAAUAAGGAUCGGCUAACUCCGUGCCAGCAGCCGCGGUAAUACGGAGGAUCCGAGCGUUAUCCGGAUUUAUUGGGUUUACAGGGAGCGUAGGUGGAUUGUUAAGGCAGUUGUGAAAGUGUGCGGCUCAAACGUAAAAUUGCAGUUGAAACUGGCAGUGUUGAGUACAGUAGAGGUGGGCGGAAUUCGUGGUGUAGCGGUGAAAUGCUUAGAUAUCACGAAGAACUCCGAUUGCGAAGGCAGCUCACUGGACUGCAACUGACGCUGAGGCGCGAAAGCGUGGGGAGCAAACAGGAUUAGAUACCCCUGUAGUC
rnacentral:rRNA from 1 species